rnacentral:rRNA from 1 species
CCUACGGGUGGCAGCAGUGAGGAAUAUUGGUCAAUGGGCGGGAGCCUGAACCAGCCAUGCCGCGUGAAGGCGAGUGCCCUACGGGCGUUAAACUUCUUUUGUGCGGGAGCAAUAAGGGCCACGUGUGGCCCGAUGAGAGUACCGCACGAAUAAGCAUCGGCUAACUCCGUGCCAGCAGCCGCGGUAAUACGGGGGAUGCGAGCGUUAUCCGGAUUUAUUGGGUUUAAAGGGAGCGUAGGCCGCAUGUCAAGCGUGCUGUGAAAUGUCCGGGCUCAACCCGGGCCUUGCAGCGCGAACUGGCGUGCUUGAGUCCGCGGAAAGCAGGCGGAAUUCGUCGUGUAGCGGUGAAAUGCUUAGAUAUGACGAAGAACCCCGAUUGCGAAGGCAGCUUGCUGCAGCGGAACUGACGCUGAUGCUCGAAAGCGCGGGUAUCGAACAGGAUUAGAUACCCCGUAGUC